CAAAAGUUUGGUCCUGACUUUACUAACAACUAUGGCUAUAUUUACACAUGCAAGUAUCCGCACCCCCGUGAGAAUGCCCUAACAGUUUCCCGCCAGGAAACAAGGAGCGGGUAUCAGGCACGCGCCAAACCGCAGCCCAAGACGCCUUGCUUAGCCACACCCUCAAGGGAAUUCAGCAGUGACAAACAUUGAGCUAUAAGUGAAACGUUGACUCAGUUAAAGCCCCUAGGGCCGGUAAACCUCGUGCCAGCCACCGCGGUUAUACGAGAGGCCCAAGUUGUUAGGCAUCGGCGUAAAGGGUGGUUAAGGCAAAUAUACAAACUAAAGCCGAACAUCUUCCAAGCCGUCAUACGCACACGAAGACAAGAAGCCCAAUAACGAAAGUGGCUCUAACCUGCCUGAACCCACGAAAGCUAUGAUACAAACUGGGAUUAGAUACCCCACUAUGCCUAGCCCUAAACAUUGACAGUAAAUUCACCAACUGUUCGCCCGGGAACUACGAGCACCAGCUUAAAACCCAAAGGACUUGGCGGUGCUUUAGACCCACCUAGAGGAGCCUGUUCUAUAACCGAUACCCCCCGUUAAACCUCACCCUUCCUUGUUUUCCCCGCCUAUAUACCGCCGCCGUCAGCUUACCCCAUGAGGGACCCACAGUAAGCAUAAUCAGCAAAGCCCAAAACGUCAGGUCGAGGUGUAGCGCAUGGAAGGGGAAGAAAUGGGCUACAUUCCCUUCAACAGGGAACUACGAAUGGCAUUUUGAAAUACAUGCCUCAAGGAGGAUUUAGCAGUAAGUAAAA
rnacentral:rRNA from 1 species